rnacentral:rRNA from 1 species
UACGUAGGUGGCGAGCGUUGUCCGGAUUUACUGGGCGUAAAGAGCGCGCAGGCGGCUGGUCAAGUCCGAUGUGAAAGCUCCUGGCUUAACUGGGAAAUUGCAUCGGAAACUGAUCGGCUGGAAGGUGGGAGAGGGUAGCGGAAUUCCCGGUGUAGCGGUGAAAUGCGUAGAUAUCUGGAGGAACACCGGUGGCGAAGGCGGCAUCCUGGACCGAUACUGACGCUGAGGAGCGAAAGCCAGGGGAGCAAACGGG